rnacentral:rRNA from 1 species
AUUGAACGCUGGCGGCAGGCCUAACACAUGCAAGUCGAACGAGUGGCGGACGGGUGAGUAAUGUCUGGGAAACUGCCUGAUGGGGGGGGAUAACUACUGGAAACGGUAGCUAAUACCGCAUACCCUCGGAUGUGCCCAGAUGGGAUUAGCUAGUUGGUGGUGUAAAGGCUCACCUAGGCGACGAUCCCUAUCUGGUCUGAGAGGAUGACCAGCCACAACGGAACGUAGACACGGUCCAGCCUCCUCCGGGAGGCAGCAGUGGGGAAUAUUGCACAAUGGGCGCAAGCCUGAUGCAGACAUGCCGCGUGUAUGAAGAAGGCCUUCGGGUUGUAAAGUACUUUCAUCGGGGAGGCGUUACCCGCAGAAGAAGCACCGGCUAACUCCGUGCCAGCAGCCGCGGUAAUAC